rnacentral:rRNA from 1 species
AAUCCAUAGGUUAAUGAGGCGAACCGGGGGAACUGAAACAUCUAAGUACCCCGAGGAAAAGAAAUCAACCGAGAUUCCCCCAGUAGCGGCGAGCGAACGGGGAGGAGCCCAGAGCCUGAAUCAGCAUGUGUGUUAGUGGAAGCGUCUGGAAAGGCGCGCGAUACAGGGUGACAGCCCCGUACACAAAAGCGCAUGUGCUGUGAGCUCGAUGAGUAGGGCGGGACACGUGGUAUCCUGUCUGAAUAUGGGGGGACCAUCCUCCAAGGCUAAAUACUCCUGACUGACCGAUAGUGAACCAGUACCGUGAGGGAAAGGCGAAAAGAACCCCGGCGAGGGGAGUGAAAAAGAACCUGAAACCGUGUACGUACAAGCAGUGGGAGCACAGGUUUACCUGUGUGACUGCGUACCUUUUGUAUAAUGGGUCAGCGACUUAUAUUCUGUAGCAAGGUUAACCGAAUAGGGGAGCCGGAGGGAAACCGAGUCUUAAUUGGGCGUUAAGUUGCAGGGUAUAGACCCGAAACCCGGUGAUCUAGCCAUGGGCAGGUUGAAGGUUGGGUAACACUAACUGGAGGACCGAACCGACUAAUGUUGAAAAAUUAGCGGAUGACCUGUGGCUGGGGGUGAAAGGCCAAUCAAACCGGGAGAUAGCUGGUUCUCCCCGAAAGCUAUUUAGGUAGCGCCUCGUGAAUUCAUCUCCGGGGGUAGAGCACUGUUUCGGCUAGGGGGCCAUCCCGGCUUACCAACCCGAUGCAAACUGCGAAUACCGGAGAAUGUUAUCACGGGAGACACACGGCGGGUGCUAACGUCCGUCGUGAAGAGGGAAACAACCCAGACCGCCAGCUAAGGUCCCAAAGUCAUGGUUAAGUGGGAAACGAUGUGGGAAGGCCCAGACAGCCAGGAUGUUGGCUUAGAAGCAGCCAUCAUUUAAAGAAAGCGUAAUAGCUCACUGGUCGAGUCGGCCUGCGCGGAAGAUGUAACGGGGCUAAACCAUGCACCGAAGCUGCGGCAGCGACACUGUGUGUUGUUGGGUAGGGGAGCGUUCUGUAAGCCUGUGAAGGUGUGUCGUGAGGCAUGCUGGAGGUAUCAGAAGUGCGAAUGCUGACAUAAGUAACGAUAAAGCGGGUGAAAAGCCCGCUCGCCGGAAGACCAAGGGUUCCUGUCCAACGUUAAUCGGGGCAGGGUGAGUCGACCCCUAAGGCGAGGCCGAAAGGCGUAGUCGAUGGGAAACGGGUUAAUAUUCCCGUACUUGGUGUUACUGCGAAGGGGGGACGGAGAAGGCUAUGUUGGCCGGGCGACGGUUGUCCCGGUUUAAGCGUGUAGGCUGGUUUUCCAGGCAAAUCCGGAAAAUCAAGGCUGAGGCGUGAUGACGAGGCACUACGGUGCUGAAGCAACAAAUGCCCUGCUUCCAGGAAAAGCCUCUAAGCAUCAGGUAACAUCAAAUCGUACCCCAAACCGACACAGGUGGUCAGGUAGAGAAUACCAAGGCGCUUGAGAGAACUCGGGUGAAGGAACUAGGCAAAAUGGUGCCGUAACUUCGGGAGAAGGCACGCUGACACGUAGGUGAAGUGAUUUACUCAUGGAGCUGAAGUCAGUCGAAGAUACCAGCUGGCUGCAACUGUUUAUUAAAAACACAGCACUGUGCAAACACGAAAGUGGACGUAUACGGUGUGACGCCUGCCCGGUGCCGGAAGGUUAAUUGAUGGGGUCAGCGCAAGCGAAGCUCCUGAUCGAAGCCCCGGUAAACGGCGGCCGUAACUAUAACGGUCCUAAGGUAGCGAAAUUCCUUGUCGGGUAAGUUCCGACCUGCACGAAUGGCGUAAUGAUGGCCAGGCUGUCUCCACCCGAGACUCAGUGAAAUUGAACUCGCUGUGAAGAUGCAGUGUACCCGCGGCAAGACGGAAAGACCCCGUGAACCUUUACUAUAGCUUGACACUGAACAUUGAGCCUUGAUGUGUAGGAUAGGUGGGAGGCUUUGAAGUGUGGACGCCAGUCUGCAUGGAGCCGACCUUGAAAUACCACCCUUUAAUGUUUGAUGUUCUAACGUGGACCCGUUACCCGGGUUGCGGACAGUGUCUGGUGGGUAGUUUGACUGGGGCGGUCUCCUCCUAAAGAGUAACGGAGGAGCACGAAGGUUGGCUAAUCCUGGUCGGACAUCAGGAGGUUAGUGCAAUGGCAUAAGCCAGCUUGACUGCGAGCGUGACGGCGCGAGCAGGUGCGAAAGCAGGUCAUAGUGAUCCGGUGGUUCUGAAUGGAAGGGCCAUCGCUCAACGGAUAAAAGGUACUCCGGGGAUAACAGGCUGAUACCGCCCAAGAGUUCAUAUCGACGGCGGUGUUUGGCACCUCGAUGUCGGCUCAUCACAUCCUGGGGCUGAAGUAGGUCCCAAGGGUAUGGCUGUUCGCCAUUUAAAGUGGUACGCGAGCUGGGUUUAGAACGUCGUGAGACAGUUCGGUCCCUAUCUGCCGUGGGCGCUGGAGAACUGAGGGGGGCUGCUCCUAGUACGAGAGGACCGGAGUGGACGCAUCACUGGUGUUCGGGUUGUCAUGCCAAUGGCACUGCCCGGUAGCUAAAUGCGGAAGAGAUAAGUGCUGAAAGCAUCUAAGCACGAAACUUGCCCCGAGAUGAGUUCUCCCUGAGACUUAGAGUCUCCUGAAGGAACGUUGAAGACGACGACGUUGAUAGGCCGGGUGUGUAAGCGCAGCGAUGCGUUGAGCUAACCGGUACUAAUGAACCGUGAGGCUUAACCUUACAACGCCG